GACGAACGCUGGCGGCGUGCCUAAUACAUGCACGUAGAACGCUGAAGGUGGAGCUUGCUUCUCUGGUUGAGUUGCGCACGGGUGAGUAACGCGUAGGUAACCUGCCUGGUAGCGGGGGAUAACUAUUGGAAACGAUAGCUAAUACCGCAUAAUAGUAGAUGUUGCAUUACAUUUUCUUAAAAGGUGCAAUUGCCUCACUACCAGCUGUACCUGCGUUGUAUUAGCUAGUUGGUGAGGUCACGGCUCACCAAGGCGACGAUACAUAGCCGACAUGAGAGGGUGAUCGGCCACACUGGGCCGGAGACACGGCCCAGACUCCUACGGGAGGCAGCAGUAGGGAAUCUGCGGCAAUGGACGGCAGUCUGACCGAGAAACGCCGCGUGAGUGCAGAAGGUUGUCGGAUCGUAAAGAUCUGUUGUAAGAGAAGAACGAGGGUGAGCGUGGAAAGUUCACACUGUGACGGUAUCUUACCAGAAAGCGACGGCUAACUACGUG
rnacentral:rRNA from 1 species